GCCUUGGUGGUGAAAUGGUAGACACGAGGGACUUAAAAUCCCUUGACCCGAAAGGGUCGUGCGGGUUCGAUUCCCGCCCGAGGCA
rnacentral:tRNA from 1 species